rnacentral:rRNA from 1 species
GAUGAACGCUGGCGGCGUGCUUAACACAUGCAAGUCGAACGAUGAAGCCCAGCUUGCUGGGUGGAUUAGUGGCGAACGGGUGAGUAACACGUGAGUAACCUGCCCUUAACUCUGGGAUAAGCCUGGGAAACUGGGUCUAAUACCGGAUAGGAGCGCCUACCGCAUGGUGGGUGUUGGAAAGAUUUAUCGGUUUUGGAUGGACUCGCGGCCUAUCAGCUUGUUGGUGAGGUAAUGGCUCACCAAGGCGACGACGGGUAGCCGGCCUGAGAGGGUGACCGGCCACACUGGGACUGAGACACGGCCCAGACUCCUACGGGAGGCAGCAGUGGGGAAUAUUGCACAAUGGGCGAAAGCCUGAUGCAGGGACGCCGCGUGAGGGAUGACGGCCUUCGGGUUGUAAACCUCUUUCAGUAGGGAAGAAGCGAAAGUGACGGUACCUGCAGAAGAAGCACCGGCUAACUACGUG